rnacentral:rRNA from 1 species
GCCCUUUUCCGGUUGUACCUGCCGGACCCGACUGCUAUCGGGCUGGGACUAAGACAUGCAAGCCGUGCGCGGUCGCCAUGCCCGACCGCGCGGCGGACGGCUCCGUAACACGUCCCCAACCGAACCUCGGGACCCGGAUAACCUCGGGAAACUGAGGUUAAUCCGGGAUAGGAGAGGGGUCCUGGAAGGGCCCUCUCCGAAAGGGGUGAUCGAGGCCAUGGUCGAUCACCCGCCCGAGGACGGGGGGGCGGCCCAUCAGGUAGUAGGUGGGGUAACGGCCCACCUAGCCUAUGACGGGUACGGGCGCUGGGAGGCGGAGCCCGGAGAGGGGCACUGAGACAAGGGCCUCAGCCCUACGGGGUGCAGCAGUCGCGAAACCUCCGCAAUGCGCGAAAGCGUGACGGGGUCAGCCCGAGUGCCACCCGUGAGGGUGGCUGUGGCCGGCCGUAAAAAAGCCGGCUUAGAAAGCGGAGGGCAAGGCUGGUGCCAGCCGCCGCGGUAAAACCAGCUCCGCGAGUGGUCGGGACUAUUACUGGGCUUAAAGGGUCCGUAGGCGGCCCCGUGAGUCCGCGGCUAAAUCCCAGGGCUCAACCCUGGGACUGCUGCGGAUACCACGGGGCUAGGGACCGGGCGAGGGCGGGGGUACUCACCGGGUAGGGGCGAAAUCCUGAGAUCCGGUGAGGACCGGCGGUGGCGAAGGCGCCUGCCUGGAACGGCUCCGACGCUGAGGGACGAAAGCCGGGGGAGCGAAGGGGAUUAGAUACCCCCGUAGUCCCGGCUGUAAACGAUGCCCGCUAGGUGUUGGGCUGGCUGGAGCCAGCCCAGUGCCUGAAGGGAAACCGUUAAGCGGGCCGCCUGGGGAGUACGGCCGCAAAGGCUGAAACUUAAAGGAACAGGCGGGGGCCC